UCUGGAUUUUCGUUUCAAAAGGGAUUCUCAAGGUCGCAGCUGCUGCUUUAGUUGAUUUCCGCUGCAUUAGCUCCUGAAUUUCUGGGUGUUCGAGUUUUACUUCGGAUUCGAAAUUUGAAGCUAUGGGCUGUUUCUUCUAUUGCUGAGCUCCAACCAGUAGAUUUCUGGUCUUUAUUUGGCUAUUUUAAGCUGUGUUGCCGCAAAACUAGAUCCAGGCAUUGGACAACAGCAGUAGCAUGGGAGUUAGCGUUCAGUCCAGCGAGACUCCGAGGUAGCCUUGCAGACGUCCGCAGGCCUGGCGUCUCCUCCAUCUUUUAUUUUAGUCUGUCAUCUCAUGUAUUAGAGACAAACAGUUUGUACUUUCUUUCAAACGGUUGUAUUUAGUACUCUUAGUGGUUCGUGAGUAUGUGACACCAGUUCUUGGGUAGGGUUUAUGUUGAUUUUUCCCAUUGUUGUUCAAAUUCUUAAAUUUAAGACUUUCGCUUAUUUACCUUA